rnacentral:rRNA from 1 species
CGGGGGGAGCAAGCGUUGUUCGGAUUUACUGGGCGUAAAGGGCGCGUAGGCGGCGCAACAAGUCACUUGUGAAAUCUCCGGGCUUAACCCGGAGCGGCCAAGUGAUACUGUCGUGCUAGAGUGCGGAAGGGGCUACUGGAAUUCUCGGUGUAGCGGUGAAAUGCGUAGAUAUCGAGAGGAACACCUGCGGCGAAGGCGGGUAGCUGGGCCGACACUGACGCUGAGGCGCGAAAGCCAGGGGGAGCGAACGGGAUUAGAUACCCCGGUAGUCCUGGCCUUAAACGAUGGAUGCUUGGUGUCCGGGGUUACAUAGUCCCCGGGUGCCGGCGCUAACGCAUUAAGCAUCCCGCCUGGGGAGUACGGUCGCAAGACUG